CCGAGUCAGAAGAGAGCUAAAAUGGCGGAGGUUGUGAGUCCCUGCUUUGACUCUGUUUGCAAACUCUUGUUUCAUUGUUUAAGCGAUUAAAUCUCUCGAGUAGACGCUGUCUCUUUAGAUGCGAGGGCAAAAUAGCACUUUAUGGACUUCCACAGAGGACAUCAUGUUUAAUACGGUUCCGGAAAAAUCCAGUCAGAAGUUGUUCACGGAGUUUUCACAAUAACUGCUUCUCAUGAACCGAAGCUGGAUUUGCACGACGUCUCCUCUUGAAAGUUGGAUUACUGUGCACUUCUGGAUCACAGACUAUUCGCAGCUGUACACAUCCUUCUACACUGUAUGCAAACAUGCAACAUCAUUACACACAGUACAAGGAGUCAGACUGGCAUAUGAGGAGCAAAGGAACCCAGGCAGUAGCAUCUUUUCACAAUGUUUCCAUCACCAUCAUCAGUGGAUGCCUUUGCCGUCCGUAGCCUGAGAUUUCAGAUUUGCAGCAAAAAAAAUUUGAUUUUCUCAUUUAUUGGAAUGCUGUGCAGGUAUUUGUACCUUGCAGCCAUCCAUUACAAUGUCACCAAGCCGUAACAAAAGCAGGAGAGGAAAAGUACAAGGCUAUGUUCCCAAAACACACAAGUGACAUACCUUAUGUGGAUGAUGUGAUCAGGCUUGUGUUUGCUGAGGUAUUUGAAGAUAAGCUGAAGGAAACCCCGAUUCCAAUGGACCUGGCAUCACAGUUUGAGAGACCUUCAAAGGAGGACGUGAUUGCAUGCCAUCUUCAGUGCAGGGGUCGUCGAAAGCCAAAAUUGUGACCGAUCUGAUCAGGAAGCUCCAAGCGUAUCUGGAGAACAACACACGACAGGAUGAUAACCUUAUAGUGUCGUCUUAAAUAGCACCAGCUGACAAAGCUUUGAUAUGCCAUUUAUCUGAAUAGAUAGCUGUAAGAAAUGAAUUGAACAAUUUUUGAAACAAGAGCACAAUAUGGUUACUAAAGUAUGUUUAUUUGUAUAUUGUUUAACAUUUAAAUAUAUAUUUGUAAUAAAUAAAAAAAAACUUU